AUUGAACGCUGGCGGAAUGCUUUACACAUGCAAGUCGAACGGUAGAGGGGGCAACCCCUCGAGAGUGGCGAACGGGUGAGUAAUAUAUCGGAACGUGCCCAGUCGUGGGGGAUAACGUAGCGAAAGUUACGCUAAUACCGCAUACGAUCUAAGGAUGAAAGCGGGGGAUCGCAAGACGUUGCGCGAUUGGAGCGGCUGAUAUCAGAUUAGGUAGUUGGUGGGGUAAAGGCUCACCAAGCCAACGAUCUGUAGCUGGUCUGAGAGGACGACCAGCCACACUGGAACUGAGACACGGUCCAGACUCCUACGGGAGGCAGCAGUGGGGAAUUUUGGACAAUGGACGCAAGUCUGAUCCAGCCAUUCCGCGUGCAGGAUGAAGGCCCUCGGGUUGUAAACUGCUUUUGUACGGAACGAAAAGGUCUCUCUUAAUACGGGGGGCUCAUGACGGUACCGUAAGAAUAAGCACCGGCUAACUACGUGCCAGCCGCCGCCGUAA
rnacentral:rRNA from 1 species